rnacentral:rRNA from 1 species
CCUACGGGCCGCACCAGUGGGGAAUCUUGGACAAUGGGCGAAAGCCCGAUCCAGCAAUAUCGCGUGAGUGAAGAAAGGCAAUGCUGCUUGUAAAGCUCUUUCGUCGAGUGCGCGAUCAUGACAGGACUCGAGGAAGAAGCCCCGGCUAACUCCGUGCCAGCAGCCGCGGUAAUACGAAGGGGGCUAGCGUUGCUCGGAAUGACUGGGCGUAAAGGGCGCGUAGGCGGUUUAUGCAGUCAGAUGUGAAAUCCCGGGCUUAACCUGGGAACUGCAUUUGAGACGCAUAGACUAGAGGUCGAGAGAGGGUUGUGGAAUUCCCAGUGUAGAGGUGAAAUUCGUAGAUAUUGGGAAGAACACCGGUGGCGAAGGCGGCAACCUGGCUCGAUACUGACGCUGAGGCGCGAAAGCGUGGGGAGCAAACGGGAUUAGAUACCCGAGUAGUC